UUUGGUGGUGAUGUGGGUGAAUGGUUAGGUUUAUAUGGAGGGCAAUGAUGGUUAGGAAGAUUUUCGGUGGUGAGGUUGUCCUAGGGAAGAAGAUACAAAGUGGGUUUUAGUUGAUGGAGAAAUGGGAGAUCAAAAUAGGUGAGGGGUGAGUUAGUUUAUUCUGAAGAGAAAUGAGGUUGUGUUUUGACAGAUAGAGUAUUAUGCUUUUUAUG
rnacentral:lncRNA from 1 species